rnacentral:rRNA from 1 species
UACGUAGGGUGCGAGCGUUGUCCGGAAUUAUUGGGCGUAAAGAGCGUGUAGGCGGCCAGAUAGGUCUGCUGUGAAAACUCGAGGCUCAACCUCGAGACGCCGAUGGAAACCAUCUGACUAGAGUCCGGAAGAGGAGAGUGGAAUUCCUGGUGUAGCGGUGAAAUGCGCAGAUAUCAGGAAGAACACCCGUGGCUAAGGCGGCUCUCUAGUACGGUACUGACGCUGAGACGCGAAAGCGUGGGGAGCGAACAGG